rnacentral:rRNA from 1 species
GUGGGGAAUCUUCCGCAAUGGACGAAAGUCUGACGGAGCAACGCCGCGUGAGUGAUGAAGGUCUUCGGAUUGUAAAGCUCUGUUAAUCGGGACGAAAGAGCCUAGUGUGAAUAAUGCUAGGAAGUGACGGUACCGGAAUAGAAAGCCACGGCUAACUACGUGCCAGCAGCCGCGGUAAUACGUAGGUGGCAAGCGUUGUCCGGAAUUAUUGGGCGUAAAGCGCGCGCAGGCGGAUCUGCCAGUCUGUCUUAAAAGUUCGGGGCUUAACCCCGUGAUGGGAUGGAAACUACAGAUCUAGAGUAUCGGAGAGGAAAGUGGAAUUCCUAGUGUAGCGGUGAAAUGCGUAGAUAUUAGGAAGAACACCAGUGGCGAAGGCGACUUUCUGGACGAAAACUGAUGCUGAGGCGCGAAAGCCAGGGGAGCGAACGGGAUUAGAAACCCUAGUAGUCC